rnacentral:rRNA from 1 species
AACGUCCGUCGUGAAGAGGGAAACAACCCAGACCGCCAGCUAAGGUCCCAAAGUCAUGGUUAAGUGGGAAACGAUGUGGGAAGGCACAGACAGCCAGGAUGUUGGCUUAGAAGCAGCCAUCAUUUAAAGAAAGCGUAAUAGCUCACUGGUCGAGUCGGCCUGCGCGGAAGAUGUAACGGGGCUAAACCAUGCACCGAAGCUGCGGCAGCGACACUAUGUGUUGUUGGGUAGGGGAGCGUUCUGUAAGCCGUUGAAGGUGGCCUGUGAGGGUUGCUGGAGGUAUCAGAAGUGCGAAUGCUGACAUAAGUAACGAUAAAGCGGGUGAAAAGCCCGCUCGCCGGAAGACCAAGGGUUCCUGUCCAACGUUAAUCGGGGCAGGGUGAGUCGACCCCUAAGGCGAGGCCGAAAGGCGUAGUCGAUGGGAAACAGGUUAAUAUUCCUGUACUCGGUGUUACUGCGAAGGGGGGACGGAGAAGGCUAUGUUAGCCGGGCGACGGUUGUCCCGGUUUAAGCAUGUAGGCGGGAAG